GACGAACGCUGGCGGCGUGCUUAACACAUGCAAGUCGAGCGGAGCGGCGGACGGGUGAGUAACGCGUGAGUAACUGCCCCCCUCUCUGGGAUAACAGUUGGGAACGGCUGCUAAUACCGGAUAGUGGGGUAUGACUCGCGUCGUAUCAGCUUGUUGGUGGGGUAGUGGCCUACCAAGGCGACGACGGGUAGCCGGCCUGAGAGGGCGACCGGCCCCAUGGGGCUGAGAUACGGACCAAACUCCAACGGGAGGCAGCGGUGGGGAAUAUUGCACAACGGGGUAAAGGCUGAUGCAGUAACGCCGCGUGCGGGAUGACGGCCUUCGGGUUGAAAACCGCUUUCAGCCAUGACGCGGUAGUGGCAGAAGAAGCACCGGCUAACUACGUGCCAGCAGCCGCGGUAAUAC
rnacentral:rRNA from 1 species